rnacentral:rRNA from 1 species
AGAGUUUGAUCCUGGCUCGGGAUGAACGCUAGCGGCAGGCUUAACACAUGCAAGUCGAGGGGCAGCGGGGUGUAGCAAUACACUGCCGGCGACCGGCGCACGGGUGCGUAACGCGUAUGCAACCUACCCAUAACAGGGGCAUAACACUGAGAAAUUGGUACUAAUUCCCCAUAACAUUCGAAGAGGCAUCUCUUUGGGUUGAAAACUCCGGUGGUUAUGGAUGGGUAUGCGUUGUAUUAGCUAGUUGGUGGGGUAACGG